rnacentral:tRNA from 1 species
GGGUGGUUAGCUCAGUUGGUAGAGCAUCUCGUUUACACCGAGGAGGUCAGCGGUUCGAGCCCGUUACCACCCACCG